UACGUAGGGUGCGAGCGUUGUCCGGAAUUAUUGGGCGUAAAGAGCGUGUAGGCGGCUUGUUAAGUCUUGCGUGAAAUCUCGGGGCUCAACCCCGAGCGGUCGUGAGAAACUGGCAGGCUAGAGUGCGGGAGAGGAGAGUGGAAUUCCUGGUGUAGCGGUGAGAUGCGCAGAUAUCAGGAAGAACACCCGUGGCGAAGGCGGCUCUCUGGAACGCAACUGACGCUGAGACGCGAAAGCGUGGGGAGCAAACAGG
rnacentral:rRNA from 1 species